GAUAAACGCUGGCGGCGUGCAUGAGACAUGCAAGUCGAACGGACGAUUGGGGCUUGCUCCGAUCGUUAGUGGCGGACGGCUGAGUAACGCGUGGGUGACCUACCCCGAAGUGGGGAAUAACUGCCCGAAAGGGUGGCUAAUACCGCAUACGAUCGGCAAUUCAUUUUGCCGAUCAAAGCAGUGAUGCGCUUUGGGAGGGGCCUGCGUCCGAUUAGCUCGUUGGUGGGGUAAUGGCUCACCAAGGCGACGAUCGGUAGGUGGUCUGAGAGGACGAUCACCCAGACUGGGACUGAGACACGGCCCAGACUCCUACGGGUGGCAG
rnacentral:rRNA from 1 species